rnacentral:rRNA from 1 species
UACGGAGGGUGCGAGCGUUGUCCGGAAUCACUGGGCGUAAAGGGCGCGUAGGUGGCGAAGCAAGUCAACGGUGAAAGCUCGACGCUCAACGUCGAGUCGGCCGUCGAUACUGCAUCGCUCGAGCACUGUAGAGGCAGAUGGAAUUCCGGGUGUAGUGGUGAAAUGCGUAGAGAUCCGGAGGAACCCCAGAGGCGAAGGCGACGCCCUGGCUCGGUACCUGACGCUCAGCCACGAAAGCAUGGGGAGCGAACGGGG